UCGGGAAUUUUGCGCAAUGGGCGAAAGCCUGACGCAGCAACGCCGCGUGAGGGAUGAAGGCCUUCGGUUGUAAACCUCUUUCUCAGGGACGAUAAUGACGGUACCUGAGGAAUAAGCCACGGCUAACUACGUGCCAGCAGCCGCGGUAAUACGUAGGUGGCAAGCGUUGUCCGGAUUUACUGGGCGUAAAGAGCGCGCAGGCGGUCGUACAAGUCGCGUGUGAAAGCCCCCGGCUCAACUGGGGAGGGUCACGCGAUACUGUUCGACUCGAAGGCAGGAGAGGGAAGCGGAAUUCCCGGUGUAGUGGUGAAAUGCGUAGAUAUCGGGAGGAACACCAGUGGCGAAGGCGGCUUCCUGGCCUGUUCUUGACGCUGAGGCGCGAAAGCUAGGGGAGCAAACGGGAUUAGAUACCCCGGUAGUCCUAGCCGUAAACGAUGGACACUAGGUGUUGGUGGUAUCAACCCCGCCAGUGCCGAAGCUAACGCAUUAAGUGUCCCGCCUGGGGAGUACGGCCGCAAGG
rnacentral:rRNA from 1 species